UGGUGGUGUGAUUUGUCUGGUUUAUUCCGUUAACGAACGAGACUACGACCUACUAAAUAGACAUUGACUUGGAUUUAUUCAAGACGUGCGCUUCUUAGAGGGACUAUCGGUGUGUAGCCGAUGGAAGUUCGUAGCAAUAACA
rnacentral:rRNA from 1 species